rnacentral:lncRNA from 1 species
AAGUCAUUUCAUUGCUCCCAGUCUCAGAUCCUUCAUCUGUUGAUAGAGAUAAAAACCCUGACCAUGAAAUGUUGGGAGAAUCUAAUAAAGUAAUGUCUGCCAAAGCACUUGGACAUGAUGUAUUCAGUUCUCUGAAUAGUAGCAUUACACUUGUUCGCUAUUGGAGGGCUCAGUUAUAUGGGGGGUGUUGUGACAGCAGAGAUACUGUUGUACUCUUGCACGUGUUCCUAAGCCCAGCGUCCUGAGUGCUACCCAACAUGUGCAUCUUGGCUCCAUGGAAAUCCAGCAGGCUGGAACCACUAGCAUCCCCAGUAGACUGAGGCCAUUAGUAGUCCUGCCCAAGAAGAGCAGCUUGUAAAAGUAAUACCCCAGUGUAGAUUCUGGGAUCACAUCUUCCUUUAACAUCCAGACAAUGGGAUGCAGUUGUUGAUGUGAUCACAGUUUAAGGGCUGUUGUUUGAACUGGCUGGCUUCUGCCUGUGCAUCCCACUUCGAUACUUUUCUCUGACAAGAAAGAAAGCAAUCAGUAGGAAUGUGUUGAUGAGAUCAUAAAAUUUAAGAUUUGAGAAUGUUAAAAGGUGUUCAAUUAUGCCAGAGUUUGACCAAAUGCAGGCUGGAAUAGAAGGACUGAAUAAUCAGAAGCUAUUUAGUGAGUCACAUCCUUUUAGGGAGCAAAAGUAUCUAAGGAAUAAGAUGGGUGUGAGUUGGGACUAGGUAUUGCUUCAGGUCACCUGGGUGCCAUUCAGCAAUUAAGCAUAGCCUUAAUGGAAGAGAAGCAAAAGUGUAGCUGGCAGCCACCCCUCCUUUCCUCUUCCCAGGGCAUUUCUCUAUUUCAUUUAGGCAGGCACUCGAUACCUCUUGCCUGUAUAUUGCAACAGAUAGCCUCCUAGCUGUUCUUCAGCUUCCCAUGCCUUCCUUCUCUGGCCUCUUCUCUUUCCAGCAUUUAACAUAAAGUGGUGCCAGGUACCUCUUUCUAAGGCUUAGUUCUAUCAGCUUCGUCCUGUACUCAGACUACGACAGCUAAGGAACAGAAUCUCCCCUCCCUAGCUUCUUGUCCAUAGGCUUUCCAAUAAACUGAGCAGCCUAUGCCCCUCUGUUCUCCUUCAUGUGCGCUCAUUUCCAGCAGAACUAGACCCCUUACCUCUUGCUGAACACACCCUGAAGUUUUCUGCCUCUGAUAUAUAGCAGUUUACCUAAAUGUAUUUCUCCUUCUUGUGAUUUUACUUGUCUUUUGUCAGUAUCAUCUAUUUUACUAAGCUUCUUUUGACACCCUAACACCAAAUGAAAGGGAUUUACUUCCUCAGAACUCACAUUGUCUGUGUGAUUGAACUUCUCUCCUGGCUUAAAUUCAUGUGCUCAUGACUUGUUUGUCUCUCUCAGUGGACAGUAAGCUCCUUGAGGGCCAGGACCUGUGCCAGAUGCAUGAUUGUCACAUUUUGCCUCUGGGCCCUACAGAACCCAUGAUAAAUGUUGUAGUGGCCUUACCCCACCAGACUCCAAAGCUUGCAAAUACUUUGAGAUCCUGUGGGAGAUGAUAAACUGCAUUGCUCCAAAUUAAUAUUUUCCUGAUCCUCUCCCUCCUCCCACCCUCUGCUUGCAGAGCUUGCAAAUACUUUGAGAUCCUGUGGGAGAUGAUAAACUGCAUUGCUCCCCUUCUCAGGACUUCAGCUUUCUGGACUACAAAUCAGGGGGUUUGCCAAGUUUGCUUUUCAAGGCCUUGGCUAGUUCUAGGAUUCUGAC